rnacentral:tRNA from 2 species
UCCGAAUUAGUAUAUCGGCUAGUAUGACCGCCUCUCAUCAUUCGUGGCCGCGGUAGAGACGGGUUCGACUCCCGUAUUCGGAA